rnacentral:rRNA from 1 species
UGGGGAAUAUUGGGCAAUGGGCGAAAGCCUGACCCAGCAACGCCGCGUGAAGGAAGAAGGUUUUCGGAUUGUAAACUCCUGUCCUCAGGGAAGAAGGAAGUGACGGUACCUGAGGAGGAAGCCCCGGCUAACUACGUGCCAGCAGCCGCGGUAAUACGUAGGGGGCGAGCGUUGUCCGGAAUUACUGGGCGUAAAGCGCAUGUAGGCGGCUUGUUAAGUCAGGUGUGAAAACUGUCGGCUCAACCGGGAGAGUGCACAUGAAACUGGCAGGCUUGAGGGCAGGAGAGGAGAGCGGAAUUCCUAGUGUAGCGGUGAAAUGCGUAGAUAUUAGGAGGAACACCAGUGGCGAAGGCGGCUCUCUGGACUGAACCUGACGCUGAGAUGCGAAAGCUAGGGGAGCGAACGGG